GACGAACGCUGGCGGCGCGCUUAACGCAUGCAAGUCGUGCGGUGUCGAAGGCAAGUCUUACGACAAGCCUUCGACACAGCGGCGAACGGGUGAGUAACACGUGAGUAGCUGUCCUAAGGAGGGGGAUAACGCCUGGAAACGGGUGCUAAUACCCCAUAUGCCUCGCAAGAGGUGAAAGUGUACUUGUUACAGCCUUAGGGUGUGCUCGCGGCCUAUCAGCUAGUUGGUGAGGUAACGGCUCACCAAGGCUAAGACGGGUAGCCGGCCUGAGAGGGUGUACGGCCACACUGGAAUUGAGAUACGGUCCAGACUCCUACGGGAGGCAGCAGUGGGGAAUCUUGGGCAAUGGGCGAAAGCCUGACCCAGCGACGCCGCGUUGGGGAUGAAGCCCUUCGGGGCGUAAACCCAUGUUGUAGGGGACGAAGAAAGUGACGGUACCCUACGAGAAAGCCCCGGCCAACUACGUGCCAGCAGCCGCGGUAAAACGUAGGGGGCGAGCGUUGUCCGGAAUUACUGGGCGUAAAGGGCACGCAGGCGGUACGCCAAGUCGGGGGUGUAAAGUUACGGCUCAACCGUGACCUUGCAAUCGAUACUGGCGUACUGGAGUGCGGGAGAGGGAAGUGGAAUUCCCGGUGUAGCGGUGAAAUGCGUAGAUAUCGGGAGGAACGCCAGUGGCGAAGGCGGCUUCCUGGCCCGCGACUGACGCUCAUGUGCGAAAGCCAGGGGAGCGAACCGGAUUAGAUACCCGGGUAGUCCUGGCCGUAAACGAUGGGUGCUAGGUGUAGGCGCGUCAAGCGUCUGUGCCGCAGUUAACGCGAUAAGCACCUCGCCUGGGGAGUACGGUCGCAAGGCUGA
rnacentral:rRNA from 1 species